rnacentral:rRNA from 1 species
GGGUCAGUAGGUUGGUCGUGCCACCGGUACGUACUGGUCUCACUGAUUCCUCCUUCCUGAAGAACCGUAAUGCCAUUAAUUUGGUGUUGCGGGGAAACAGGACUGUUACUUUGAAAAAAUUAGAGUGUUUAAAGCAAGCUAACGCUUGAAUACAUUAGCAUGGAAUAAUGAAAUAGGACGAUCGAUCCUAUUUUGUUGGUUUCUAGGAUUGACGUAAUGUUUAAUAGGAAUAGUUGGG